rnacentral:misc_RNA from 1 species
CUGAGUGAGGGCCCUCUGGGUCCAACCUCCCACCCGUGUUUAUUGUACCCUGUUGCUUCGGCGGGCCCGCCUUCGGGCGGCCCGGGGCCUGCCCCCGGGUCCGCGCGCACCGGAGACACUAUUGAACUCUGUCUGAAGAUUGCAGUCUGAGCAUAAACUAAAUAAGUUA